GGACAAGUGUCCGCAGAGACCUUGGAGGCUGACAGCUCAGGGAUUGUCACCACCACAGCUUCUACGAUAACUUUUUCUUCUGUUUGGAUGCCAGUAUGCUCUCCACGUGAUGCUGAAGUGAGACGUAUGCUGACCAUCCUUCACAGUGGUCGGACUCUCUGACAAUAAUGGGCCAACUUUCCCAGAGCCCGGUUUGUGGCUGCUGUCCUGGGAGCUGGUGGGAUCUGUGAAAGCAUCCUGGGUGGAGUUGGAGUCAGAGAGCAACACCACCUCACUGUCCUGACUUCGCUCUGUCAAAACAAAAGACAACAUGGGUCAUGCUGCCAAUAACAUGGCUGCAGAUAAGAGACAAAAUAACCUUAAAAUGUGGAAUAUUGUAAAUAAAAACAUAGAAAAUGAU